CUCGUAGGCGGCCAACUAAGUCGGAUGUGAAAUCCCCAAGCUUAACUUGGGAACUGCAUCCGAUACUGGAUGGCUUGAAUCCGGGAGAGGGAUGCAGAAUUCCAGGUGUAGCGGUGAAAUGCGUAGAUAUCUGGAGGAAUACCGGUGGCGAAGGCGGCAUCCUGGACCGGCAUUGACGCUGAUGAGCGAAAGCUAGGGGAGCAAACGGGAUUAGAUACCCCGGUAGUCCUAGCCCUAAACGAUGAAUGCUUGGUGUGGCGGGUAUCGAUCCCUGCCGUGCCGAAGCUAACGCAUUAAGCAUUCCGCCUGGGGAGUACGGUCGCAAGGCUGAA
rnacentral:rRNA from 1 species